rnacentral:rRNA from 1 species
AACGAACGCUGGCGGCAGGCCUAACACAUGCAAGUCGAACGCCCUAGCAAUAGGGAGUGGCAGACGGGUGAGUAACACGUGGGAACCUUCCCUAUAGUACGGAAUAGCUCAGGGAAACUUGAAGUAAUACCGUAUACGCCCGAGAGGGGAAAGAUUUAUCGCUAUAGGAUGGGCCCGCGUCGGAUUAGCUAGUUGGUGAGGUAAUGGCUCACCAAGGCGACGAUCCGUAGCUGGUUUGAGAGAACGACCAGCCACACUGGGACUGAGACACGGCCCAGACUCCUACGGGAGGCAGCAGUGGGGAAUAUUGGACAAUGGGCGCAAGCCUGAUCCAGCCAUGCCGCGUGAGUGAUGAAGGCCUUAGGGUUGUAAAGCUCUUUUAGCAGGGAAGAUAAUGACUGUACCUGCAGAAUAAGACUCCGGCUAACUUCGUGCCAGCAGCCGCGGUAAU